UACGGAGGGUGCGAGCGUUGUCCGGAAUCACUGGGCGUAAAGGGCGCGUAGGUGGCCGUGGCAAGCGUGCGGUGAAAGCCCGGGGCUCAACCCCGGGUCGGCCGUGCGGACUGCCGGGCUGGGGCCCACUAGGGGCAGGCGGAAUUCCGGGUGUAGCGGUGGAAUGCGUAGAGAUCCGGAAGAACACCGGUGGCGAAGGCGGCCUGCUGGGGUGGAGCCGACACUGAGGCGCGACAGCGUGGGGAGCAAACAGG
rnacentral:rRNA from 1 species